rnacentral:rRNA from 1 species
CUCGAGUGGCGAACGGGUGAGUAACACGUGGGUGAUCUGCCCUGCACUUCGGGAUAAGCUUGGGAAACUGGGUCUAAUACCGGAUAGGAGCCAUCUUUAGUGUGGUGGUUGGAAAGUUUUUUCGGUGUAGGAUGAGCUCGCGGCCUAUCAGCUUGUUGGUGGGGUAAUGGCCUACCAAGGCGGCGACGGGUAGCCGGCCUGAGAGGGUGUACGGCCACAUUGGGACUGAGAUACGGCCCAGACUCCUACGGGAGGCAGCAGUGGGGAAUAUUGCACAAUGGGCGCAAGCCUGAUGCAGCGACGCCGCGUGGGGGAUGAAGGCCUUCGGGUUGUAAACUCCUUUCGCUAGGGACGAAGCUUUGUGUGACGGUACCUAGAUAAGAAGCACCGGCUAACUACGUGCCAGCAGCCGCGGUAAUACGUAGGGUGCGAGCGUUGUCCGGAAUUACUGGGCGUAAAGAGCUCGUAGGUGGUUUGUCGCGUCGUCUGUGAAAUUCUGGGGCUUAACUCCGGGCGUGCAGGCGAUACGGGCAUAACUUGAGUGCUGUAGGGGUAACUGGAAUUCCUGGUGUAGCGGUGAAAUGCGCAGAUAUCAGGAGGAACACCGAUGGCGAAGGCAGGUUACUGGG